UACGGGGGGAGCAAGCGUUGUUCGGAUUUACUGGGCGUAAAGGGCUCGUAGGUGGCCAACUAAGUCGGACGUGAAAUCCCUCGGCUUAACCGGGGAACUGCGUCCGAUACUGGUUGGCUUGAGUUUGGGAGAGGGAUGCGGAAUUCCUGGUGUAGCGGUGAAAUGCGCAGAUAUCAGGAGGAACACCGGUGGCGAAGGCGCCACUCUGGGCCGAAACUGACGCUGAGGAGCGAAAGCGUGGGUAGCAAACAGG
rnacentral:rRNA from 1 species